rnacentral:ribozyme from 11 species
AAAGCAGGCAAAGAAAACCGAAUUACCAAAAAAAAGAAGACAAUGUUUUCCGCCACAUUUUUUUAUUACUCUUCCUUGGCCUCUUUUUUCUCCUUCU